GACGAACGCUGGCGGCGUGCUUAACACAUGCAAGUCGAACGGAAAGGCCCUGCUUUUGUGGGGUGCUCGAGUGGCGAACGGGUGAGUAACACGUGAGUAACCUGCCCUUGACUUUGGGAUAACUUCAGGAAACUGGGGCUAAUACCGGAUAGGAGCUCCUGCUGCAUGGUGGGGGUGGGAAAGUUUCGGCGGUUGGGGAUGGACUCGCGGCUUAUCAGCUUGUUGGUGGGGUAGUGGCUUACCAAGGCUUUGACGGGUGGCCGGCCUGAGAGGGUGACCGGCCACAUUGGGACUGAGAUACGGCCCAGACUACUACGGGAGGCAGCAGUGGGGAAUAUUGCACAAUGGGCGGAAGCCUGAUGCAGCAACGCCGCGUGCGGGAUGACGGCCUUCGGGUUGUAAACCGCUUUCGCUUGUGACGAAGCGUGAGUGACGGUAAUGGGUAAAGAAGCACCGGCUAACUACGUG
rnacentral:rRNA from 1 species